CGCGUUGAAAAGCCGCAGACGCUAACUUACGUUGUCGAAAAAAACGAUUCUGAAAAGCUUCUCUGAUCAAGCCAGUGCAGUUUCUUGGGAUGAAGUCGUCAGUUUGCUCUUUUCUGGCCCUUGCUGCGUUUAUGAUGGUCCAGGUCGGAGAACUACGAAUGAUGCAAAAGAGACAGCUGCUGUACUGCGAGAGCAUUCGGUGCACGCGCCAGUGUGUUCGUGAACAUGGCGAGUGGUCGACAGGCUACUGCAAGGCCUCCCGCUGCUUCUGCACCCCUGACCGAGAAUGGCUCCGCAAUCUCAGCCGGAGGAGUGUCCCGAAACCACUACCACACUUCACUCUCACACAGUGAAGAACGGGAAACUAUAUAGCACUGGGAAUCGUUACCGAACAGACAAUCGUUGGGCGUGAACCAUUAAUAGAA